GCGAGGAGCUGGUUAUGCCUCCGCCUUGUUGCCCUGAAAGCCGCAGCGACAGCGAAAAAGGCUAA